rnacentral:rRNA from 1 species
UACCUGCAGCUCGAGUGGUGGCCGCUAUUAUUGGGCCUAAAACGUCCGUAGCCGGUUUAAUAAAUGCCUGGGUAAAUCGUGUAGCUUAACUAUACGAAUUCCGGGUAGACUGUUAGACUUGAGACCGGGAGAAGCUAGAGGUACUCCUGGGGUAGAGGUGAAAUUCUGUAAUCCUAGGGGGACCACCAGUGGCGAAGGCGUCUAGCUAGAACGGGUCUGACGGUGAGGGACGAAGCCCUGGGGCGCAAACCGGAUUAGAUACCCGGGUAGUCCAGGGUGUAAACGCUGCUUGCUUGAUGUUAGUUGGGCUCUGAGCCCAAUUAGUGUCGGAGAGAAGUUGUUAAGCAAGCUGCCUGGGAAGUACGGUAGCAAGACUGAAACUUAAAGGAAUUGGCGGGGGAGCACAGCAACGGGUGGAGCGUGCGGUUU